GACGAACGCUGGCGGCGUGCUUAACACAUGCAAGUCGAACGGAAAGGCCCUGCUUUUGUGGGGUGCUCGAGUGGCGAACGGGUGAGUAACACGUGAGUAACCUGCCCUUGACUUUGGGAUAACUUCAGGAAACUGGGGCUAAUACCGGAUAGGAGCUCCUGCUGCAUGGUGGGGGGUGGAAAGUUUCGGCGGUUGGGGAUGGACUCGCGGCUUAUCAGCUUGUUGGUGGGGUAGUGGCUUACCAAGGCUUUGACGGGUAGCCGGCCUGGGAGGGUGACCGGCCACAUGGGGACUGCGAUAGGGCCCAGACGCCUACGGGAGGCAGCAGUGGGGAAUAUUGCCCAAUGGGCGGAAGCCUGAUGCAGCAACGCCGCGUGCGGGAUGACGGCCUUCGGGGUGUAAACCGCUUUCGCCUGUGACGAAGCGUGAGUGACGGUAAUGGGUAAAGAAGCACCGGCUAACUACGUG
rnacentral:rRNA from 1 species